AGAUGUUGGAUAUGGUUUUUGGUAUCUUUCAGCCAAUUGAUAUAAAGAAUACAAAGCUGCUAUCCUGAACACCCAGAUCUGAUAAUUGAUAAGGUGUCCUGGUGAAAAUUAGGAUUUAACUGAAGACCCUUCAGUAUGUUUAGUGAUCAUUGCAACUGAUGACAUGAACAUCCCAUUCUUCAUGCUGUCAGGACUCCAAAAUUUAUUUAAAGCAGGAAAGCAAAAGUAUGCUGCUGCUGAAACGGCCAAAACAGGAAGCUAUAACCGAAGAUAGAGGAAAUGGCUGCAAGUACCAAGAUGCUGCUGCCUAAUGCAGUCAGACUACCAGCCUAGCACUGUCCUCUCCGACUGAGGAAGGAGUCCCUUUCAGUUCUCCUAAACAAGACCGUUCCAUCUGGGGAUUGAAGGGUCAAUGGCUGAAACAAAUAAACCACAACAAGCACUACUACCAGUGCAUGUACUAUAUUUUUACAGGACACACCAUGGAUUAAUAAAUAUGGAAG